AAUUCAGCCGUUUGCCGGAUUCAAAUCAUAUUAUGGGGAAAUCCAAGACGGGCGCUGUGCCCUAAAAAUAAGGCCCUGAUCUCAAUUCGUAACUUCUUGCUAGCAAAGCUUCAACAGUUCAUAAUUUCAACAUUUUCCCACAACAAACAGAAAGGGCAUUGACCAAAUCUUAUCGAUCAAUCAUCGAUCAACAAAAGAGGAAAAAAGAAGAGGCAAUUCUAUAUUUCAUUCCCACAAGCUACCAAAAAGCACACGAUGAGUGGUAAUCCAGUGAUAGGCACUGUGCAUUUGACUGGAGCUCAAACCUCACUACAACAACGAUGCUUUUGCCGAGCAAAAAACAAAACAAACUACCAAAAAGCACUGAAUUUUUUUGGAAGAGAUGGAUAGUUAAACCGUUGGUUGACGUAAACAAUACAUUUGAGCAUGUCGUAGAUAGCAGACAUGAAUCUGCAUCACCUCAAAGCUUGAUACCAGCAAAAGAGGAGCAAAAGCUGGAUUAAAUAUCAAACAUUCAUGAUUUCUUGUCGCUGAAACGAUAUAUAAAGCCUCUGUUUCACUUGUUAUUUGGCUGCAUCUAGAGUGAGAAGUAUAUAUCCGCAGAAGAAGUUGACAAUGAGCAAAUAGCAGGUUCAGGUUCCAUCUUCACUGUCUGAAAGCAAGCAAUCUUGUAUUUGCUCCCUAAGAAGAGAACACACACAAAUUUAUAAGAUCCUAAGAAGA